CAAUAAAAUUUCAAUUUUGCCCCUUACGGCAAGCCGUUCCCCGUUUAAUGUCUCUCUCUCGCCCUUUCUCGAUCCUCAUCUUUUCUCUGCUAUUGCUUUUAUUUCCAAUUCAAUUUCACUUCCUCCAUUUUUGCAAUCUCUCUCUCUCUCUCUCUCUACCCAAUCUGUUUUUUCAUCUUCAAUUCGAAUUCCACUGGUUCACAAAUCAAUUGAAUCAUCGAAUCUGACAAGCCCGGGCAAGCGGCUCAGUAUCGAGCCUCUGGAGCUCAGUUUCUCCUGUCACAUGGUGAAGACUCCGGCAGCCGGAAGCUGGAGCUGCUAGGCUUGGAGGGCAAAUGACAAACGAGGAGGUCAAGAGCUUGAACAAACGGAUUGUUGGCAAAUUGCUUAGCUGAGCAGGUUGCACCAGCCUUUUCAUGGGCGACUCGCAUUGCCUCACCUACAUUUAGGUGCCUGAUCAUAGUUUUCUGAGACAUUGGUUGACGUGUAAUUGUAGACCUUUGAUACAGAGAGAUUUUUCAAUGUGACCAGUAUACGGGGUGGUACACCACGUGUCACUAUACAAAUGGUGGGAUAUGUGUGCUAAAAAAUGGUGGGAUAUGUGUGCUAAAAUGUUAAUAACUUAGAAAAUAAAAUUUCUCACCACUCCUAUUAAAACACGUGAUGUAUCACUUGUGUUCUCGUCACAACUAAAAUUUUCUCUUUGAUACAAAGCUUUCCGUGUUUGAACGGUGUAACUAAGACCCUUCUUUUUCCGUUUUGUUGUGGUUUGGAUUGGGGAAUGGUGUUUGUCUAAGCAUUUAAAAGGUAAUUGACAUCCGAUGGUUGACAUGAUAAGUGAAAUUAUUUUGGAGCUCAAAUGGUAAGCUUGUGGAUGAAUGGUUGAUAUAAUGGACAAUUUAAAAAGUUCGAUCCUUAUCCUACCUCAACAAAUCUGUUCAUUCUUUUUAGUUCAAACCAAUCAACCCCUUCAGACUUUGGUCUUGGAUCAGGAGGAAUUUUGAUCACAAAUCUAUUUGCCUUAUGGUCACAGUGAUUAAGUUAGAAAAGUUAUUUAUCUUCGGGUUACUUGUUAUCAGCUUUACAUUGCCAACUUAGUAUAGCUUUUCUUAGCAUUACAAUAAUUUUGCGUCCUAUAAUAUUUAGAGUUUUAUUAAGAAAUUUUUGUGCAUGCAUUUUUUGAAAUGUUUAAGACUCACAAAAAUUGACAAUAAAGUUAUGGUAUCUUAUCUAGCAUUUCAGGAUUUUUAAUUGUAAUACAUGUUAACAGGAAGUAAAUUUAAUUAGAACAAACAAUUGUGCUUCAUUAGGCCGAGCCACUAGACAUAGCAUCUUAGUUUCGUUAUGUUCUUUAUACUUUCAAUUUUUAUCACAUUCUUUAUACUUUCAAUUUUCGUCACUUUCUUUAUACUAAUGCUAGUUUUAGCUCAUAAAAGUUGGAAAACUUUGUUCAGUUUUAAAAAUAGCGAUAAUAACAUUGUUCAAUUUAAGAAAUAGUCAGUGUUCAGUUUAAAAAAGCAGAUAUUGGUAUUUUCGUAACUUGUGUUACUAAUGCUCCAAGAAGUGCAUCUGACAUUGUUCUCAUUGAACCAAACUUGAAAAAACAGAUAUUGGUUUUGUCACAGCUUAUGCUACUAAUGCCCCAAGAAGUGCUUCGGAUAUGUUCUCACUGAAACUACAGCAAAAUAAUCCACAUUAUUUCUGAAAUUGAACCCAAAUAACCCACACUAUUUUUGAAACAGUUCCAAACUAACUCAUACUAUUUCUAGAACCACAACAAAAUAACCCACACUAUUUCUGGAAAUGAACAAAAUAAACAAUGUUUUUGAAACAUACUAUUUCUGAAACUAAACCGAAAUAACCCAAUUUCUGAAAUUACAGCAAGAUGACACAUACUAUUUUUGAAAACUAAACCAAAAUAACACACUAUUUAUGAAACUGAAUGAAACAAACUCACACUAUUUAUGAAAAUGAACAAAAUAAACACUAUUUCUAAAACUACAACAAAAUAACGAACAUUUUUCUUGAAACUAAACCAAGUAACUCAUAAUAUUUCUAGAAUUAUAGCAAAAUUACCCACACUAUUUUUGGAAGUGAACAAAAUAAACACUAUUUCUGGAACUACAACAAAAUAACCCACUAUUUAUGAAACUAAACCAAAAGAACUCACACUAUUUCUAGAACUACAGUAAAAUUACACAUUAUUUCUGAAACUGAACCAAAAUGACUCACUCUAUUUCUCGUUAAAUCUUUCUUAUAACCUUCUUAAUGGCACAAUACCCAAACAAGUUUUUAGACUCUCCUCCUUAUCUAUUUCUUUGGCCUUGUCUCAUAACCUCUUCACAGGUUCCCUUCCCCCGGAGGUUGGGAAUUUCCAUAGUCUAAGUGAACUGGAUCUUUCUGAUAACAUGUUAUCUGGAGAACUCCCCAGUAGCCUUGGUGGUUGUGAGAGUUUAGAAGUCCUGCAUUUGCAAGGGAACUUCUUCAAUGGGUCCAUUCCUUUGUCUAUGAGUUCAGUGAGAGGGAUUCAAGAUCUAGACCUUUCUCACAAUAAUUUUUCUAGUGAAAUUCCACAUUUUUUAGAAGGCUUUAGAAUCCUGAAUAAUCUGAACUUAUCGUUCAAUCAAUUUUGGGGAGUGGUACCAACUGGAGGUGUUUUCAAAAAUGCGAGUGCUAUUUCAGUUGUUGGCAACACUAAUCUGUGCAACCCUGUUGCUAAUUUAAAGCUUCCCAAGUGCAAG